CCUACGGGUGGCAGCAGUGAGGAAUAUUGGUCAAUGGACGAGAGUCUGAACCAGCCAAGUCGCGUGCAGGAUGACGGCUCUAUGGGUUGUAAACUUCUUUUAUAAAGGAAUAAAGCGUGGCACGUGUCCUUUUUUGCAUGUACUUUAUGAAUAAGGAUCGGCUAACUCCGUGCCAGCAGCCGCGGUAAUACGGAGGAUCCGAGCGUUAUCCGGAUUUAUUGGGUUUAAAGGGUGCGUAGAUGGGUUGUUAAGUCAGUGGUGAAAGUUUGUGGCUCAACCGUAGAAUUGCCUUUGAUACUGGCAGUCUUGAGUAUAGUUGAGGUAGGCGGAAUGCGUGGUGUAGCGGUGAAAUGCUUAGAUAUCACGCAGAACCCCGAUUGCGAAGGCAGCUUACCAAUCUAUGACUGACGUUGAUGCACGAAAGCGUGGGGAUCAAACAGGAUUAGAUACCCCAGUAGUC
rnacentral:rRNA from 1 species